GGCGUAAAGCGCGCGUAGGCCGUUGAGUUAGUUAAUUGUGAAAUCCCAAAGCUUAACUUUGGAACUGCAAUUAAAACUGCUCGACUAGAGUUUGAUAGAGGAAAGCGGAAUACAUGGUGUAGAGGUGAAAUUCGUAGAUAUUAUGUAGAACACCAGUUGCGAAGGCGGCUUUCUGGAUCAACACUGACGCUGAGGCGCGAAAGUAUGGGUAGCAAAGAGGAUUAGAUACCCUCGUAGUCCAUACCAUAAACGAUGAUUGCUAGAUGUUGGAAAUUUAUUUUCAGUAUCGCAGCUAACGCAUUAAGCAAUCCGCCUGGGGAGUACGACCGCAAGGUUAAAACUCAAAGGAAUUGACGGGGACCCGCACAAGCGGUGGAGCAUGUGGUUUAAUUCGAAGAUACGCGCAGAACCUUACCAACCCUUGACAUGUCUGUCGCGAGUUUAGGAAACUAGACUUUUCGGUUCGGCCGGACAGAACACAGGUGCUGCAUGGCUGUCGUCAGCUCGUGUCGUGAGAUGUUGGGUUAAGUCCCGCAACGAGCGCAACCCUUGUCAUUAGUUGCUACGAAAGGGCACUCUAAUGAGACUGCCGGUGACAAACCGGAGGAAGGUGGGGAUGACGUCAAGUCCUCAUGGCCCUUAUGGGUAGGGCUUCACACGUCAUACAAUGGUCGGUACAGAGGGUCGCCAACCCGCGAGGGGGAGCCAAUCCCAGAAAACCGGUCGUAGUCCGGAUCGCAGUCUGCAACUCGACUGCGUGAAGUCGGAAUCGCUAGUAAUCGUGGAUCAGAAUGUCACGGUGAAUACGUUCCCGGGUCUUGUACACACCGCCCGUCACACCAUGGGAGCGGGUUCUGCCAGAAGUAGUUAGCCUAACCGCAAGGAGGGCGAUUACCACGGCAGGGUUCGUGACUGGGGUGAAGUCGCAACAAGGUAGCCGUAUCGGAAGGUGCGGCUG
rnacentral:rRNA from 1 species